rnacentral:rRNA from 1 species
UCUUCCCUCUGGCGGCGUGCCUAAUACAUGCAAGUCGAGCGAACAGACGAGGAGCUUGCUCCUCUGACGUUAGCGGCGGACGGGUGAGUAACACGUGGAUAACCUACCUAUAAGACUGGGAUAACUUCGGGAAACCGGAGCUAAUACCGGAUAAUAUGUUGAAUCGCAUGGUUCAACAGUGAAAGACGGUCUUGCUGUCACUUAUAGAUGGAUCCGCGCCGCAUUAGCUAGUUGGUAAGGUAACGGCUUACCAAGGCAACGAUGCGUAGCCGACCUGAGAGGGUGACCGCCAACACUGAAAAUGAGACCCGUUCCAGACUCCAACGGGAGGCACAAGUAGGGACUCUUCCGGAAUGGGCGAAAGCCGGACGGAGCACCGCCGCGUGAGUAAAGAAGGUCUUCGGAUCGUAAAACUCUGUUAUGAGGGAAAAAAAAAUGUGAAAGAAACUGGGCACGUCUUGGCGUAACCUAAUAAGAAACCCGGGGCAAGCUCCGUG